UGCAGUCGAACGAGACCUUCGGGUCUAGUGGCGCACGGGUGAGUAACGCGUGGAAACCUACCAUUCUGUACGGAAUAACGAUUGGAAACGAUCGCUAAUACCGUAUACGCCCUGUGGGGGAAAGGUCCGCCGCAGAAUGAGGGGUCCGCGUCCGAUUAGCUUGUUGGUGGGGUAAAAGCCUACCAAGGCGAUGAUCGGUAGCUGGUCUGAGAGGAUGAUCAGCCACACUGGGACUGAGACACGGCCCAGACUCCUACGGGAGGCAGCAGUGGGGAAUAUUGGACAAUGGGGGCAACCCUGAUCCAGCAAUGCCGCGUGUGUGAAGAAGGCCUUAGGGUUGUAAAGCACUUUCAAUGGUGAAGAUGAUGACGGUAGCCGUAAAAAGAAGCCCCGGCUAACUUCGUGCCAGCAGCCGCGGUAAUACGAAGGGGGCGAGCGUUGUUCGGAAUUACUGGGCGUAAAGGGCGCGCAGGCGGCCAAUCCAGUCAGGUGUGAAAGCCCCGGGCUUAACCUGGGAACUGCACUUGAUACUGAUUGGCUAGAAAACGGAAGAGGCAGUGGAAUUCCCAGUGUAGAGGUGAAAUUC
rnacentral:rRNA from 1 species